rnacentral:rRNA from 1 species
UAGAGAAAGGAAGUUUCCCCUUCGGGGACAAAGUGACAGGUGGAGCAUGGUUGACGUCAGCUCGUGUCGUGAGAUGAUGGGUUAAGUCCCGCAACGAGCGCAACCCUUAAGCUUAGUUGCCAUCAUUAAGUUGGGCACUCUAAGUUGACUGCCGGUGACAAACCGGAGGAAGGUGGGGAUGACGUCAAAUCAUCAUGCCCCUUAUGAUUUGGGCUACACACGUGCUACAAUGGACAAUACAAAGGGCAGCGAAACCGCGAGGUCAAGCAAAUCCCAUAAAGUUGUUCUCAGUUCGGAUUGUAGUCUGCAACUCGACUACAUGAAGCUGGAAUCGCUAGUAAUCGUAGAUCAGCAUGCUACGGUGAAUACGUUCCCGGGUCUUGUACACACCGCCCGUCACACCACGAGAGUUUGUAACACCCGAAGCCGGUGGAGUAACCAUUUGGAGCUAGCC